AGAGCGAACGCUGGCGGCAGGCCUAACACAUGCAAGUCGAACGGACUCUUCGGAGUUAGUGGCGGACGGGUGAGUAACACGUGGGAACGUGCCUUUAGGUUCGGAAUAAGCCCGGGAAACUGGGUCUAAUACCGAAUGUGCCCUUCGGGGGAAAGAUUUAUCGCCUUUAGAGCGGCCCGCGUCUGAUUAGCUAGUUGGUGGUGUAAUGGACCACCAAGGCGACGAUCAGUAGCUGGUUUGAGAGGACGACCAGCCACACUGGGACUGAGACACGGCCCAGACUCCUACGGGAGGCAGCAGUGGGAAUUUGGACAAUGGGGAACCCUGAUCCAGCCAUCCCGCGUGUGCGAUGAAGGCCUUGG
rnacentral:rRNA from 1 species